rnacentral:misc_RNA from 1 species
GAAAUGCGAUAAGUAGUGUGAAUUGCAGAAUUCAGUGAAUCAUCGAAUCUUUGAACGCACAUUGCGCCCCUCGGUAUUCCGUGGGGCAUGCCUGUUCGAGCGUCAUCUACACCCUCAAGCUCUGCUUGGUGUUGGGCGUCUGUCCCGCCUCCGCGCGCGGACUCGCCCCAAAUGCAUUGGCAGCGGUUCCUUGCCCCCCUCUUUGCGCAGCACAUUGCCAUUCGAGGCGGCGGCGGCCCGCGUCCAACAAGCUCAACCCCCCCGUCUUGGACCUCGGAUCAGGUAGGGAUACCCGCUGAACUUAAGC